GUCAUCACUUCAACAGCACAUAUACUAAAAUUGGAACAAUACAGAGAAGAUUACCAUGGCCACUGGGCAAGGAUGACACACAAAUUCGUAAAAUGUUUCAUAAUUUU
rfam:Pteropus alecto contig68957, whole genome shotgun sequence.